rnacentral:tRNA from 1 species
GUUUUAAUAGUUUAAAAAAAACAUAGAUUUUGUAAAUCUAAAAUAAGAUUAUCUUUUAAAACU